AUUCUAUUUCAGAACCAUCCUCAGAGAUAGGAAAACUAGUUUCAUAUUAUGAUAGGAAUACUAGUUUCAUAAUAUGAAACUAGUUUUCCUAUCUCUGAGGAUGGUUCUGAAAUAGAAU
rnacentral:miRNA from 1 species